rnacentral:lncRNA from 1 species
AAAAUAGUCUGACACUUAAACUCUUUGAAUCAAGCUGGAGGGAUCCGAUUCCUGGUGGAUCGACGAUGGUCGGAAAUCUCCCAGUCAGCCGUUCCCCUCCUGUAUCCUCCACAGUCACGAUCUGGUUCAGGUUAAUCUUCAAUUCAUAUACCAAUCUCUCCUCGUCAAAUAUGUAUUCAUCAUCUCCAGCUUCCAUAACAUCGACCUUGUCCUCAAGAUUGAAAGAGGAGCAAAGUUCGACGAUUUUGGAUUUUUCCUCCCAAGAUGCUUCAGAUUCAGUAAGCCCUUUCCAGCAAAUCUUUACUUCAUCAACAUGUCUUCCUCUUACUAAUAUAGUCAGAUUCAGUAAGUCCGAUUUUAAUUGGGUAUAACAUAUACUGGUUUCCCACUUCAACUCCCGAAAAGUUUUCGAUUAAUGUUGGUGGUAUUUUCCUUUUAUACUUCCUAAUUAGCAAAGAAACAUGAAAUAUGUUAUGAAUUAAGCUACUAACAGGUAAUUGUACCUUGUACGACACUUUGCUAAUCGUCUUGAUGAUCUGAUAUGGUUCAAAGAAUCGAGGUGACAAUUUGUGGUGUAACCUAUGGACUACAGAUAUUCGUCGGUAUGGUUUUAACUUGAUGAAUACCCACCCAAUCACCCUCAUUUAAUUCAAUGUCGUCCUGCCUCUAUCUACUCUGUUUUUCAUAUAUUCCUUGGCUCUGUCCAUAUUUAUCUUUACUAUUUCAAUUAUCUUUUGCCUCCUCGAUAGUUCUUCCUCAGAUGGUAAGUUGUUAAAUCCCCCUUUGUAGAAUUUAGUGAAUGAUGUUGCGUCUCUCCCAUAUAAUGUAAGGAAUUCGGACAUUCCUAUAGACACAUUAAAUGUUGAAUUGUGCCAAAAUUCAACCCAUGGCAGCAUUUCAAGCCACUUCUUGGGUUGGUUGUGCACUAAGAACCUUAGAAACAUUUCAAUGCCCCUAUUAGUCACCUCAUUUUUCCUAUCAGUUUCAGGGUGAUAAGCUAAAGAUAAUUUCAAUGUAGUGCCACUUAAUCAAUUCAGCUCCCUCCAAGAAGAACUUGUGAAUACUUUGUCCCUGUCAGAUAAUAUAGAGGAUGGAACACCAUAGAGCUUAAUAACAUUUUCCACAAAAAAUGUUGCUUCCAUUUUAGCUGUGAAUUCAGUGGGUAGGGCUCCCAAAUGAUAGAAUUUUGAAAGUUUGUCAACCACCACUAUUAUUACCGAUUAAUUACCUUUAAUCAUGGGUAGGCUUGUGAUGAAGGCUGUAAAGAUGUCCUUUUAAAAAAACAUUAGUACGUUGUUAGCAAUGGGCCAAUGACAUUAACAAACUCUAUGGUUUUUUGUUGUUUGAUUUUACCCUCUGACAUACAAUGCACUUCUCUACAUAUUCUAAGAUUCUUUUGGACAUUCCUUUUCACCAGAAUAAUAAUUUAAUUCUCUUAGUUGUUCUUUCAACCCCAGAAUGGCCCCCAAUAGGAUUGUCAUGAUACUCUUUGAGGAUAUCAUUAAUUAAUUCAGAUCCCUGAGAUAUCAUAUAUAUCUCCUAUCAUAUAGUAGCACUUCACUAUAUAUCAAUCUACCAUUAAUUAGGAUUUUUUUCUAUUCCCAACCUCACUCUUUCUUUUAAACCGCAUAAAUCCCCUUUCUGUUUAUGUUCUUUGUUAAGCUCUAACACCAAAUUUCUCAGCAAUUUAGUAAGACUUAAGAGUGACUCUGUAGGAAUGGGGUUCAUGACUUCAUCAUCACACCUUCUUUUCAGUGCAUCAACUGCCUUUUUCUCUUUCCAUGACCUAUAUUUGAUGGAGUAAUCAAGUCCUAACAGCUUGGAUAAGAACUUUUGUUGGUCAGGGGUUUGUAUCAACUGUGUUAACAUGUUCUUGAUACUUUGGUGGUCAGUGUGGAUAGUAAAUUUAUGAUCUAAUAAAUAGUGUCUCCAUUUCCCAAUAGCUUGGGUGAUGGCAUGCAUUUCCUUUGCAUAAGUGAAGGUUAAUAAUAUCCUUCCUGAUAUUUUAGAACUGUGGUAAGGCUAAAUGGAGACCUUUCUGGCUCAUAACAACCCCUACUCCUCCUUGGCAGGCAUCAAUUUCAAUAUCAAAGGAUUUUCCAAAAUCUGGAUGGUGUAAAACAGGAUCUCUAGUCACUGCUUCUUUUAAUUUCUCUAAUCUAGUAGAAGCUGCCUCAUUCCAAAUAAAGUUAUCUUCCUGAGCAAAUCAGUAAGCUAGUGCUGCUGCAAUGCUAGCAUGAUUUUAAUAAAUUUUCUAUAGUACCCUGACAGUCCUAGAAAUCCUUUUAAGCCUUUAAUUGUGGUGGGUUGGGACCAAGCUUGGACUGACACUACCUUCUCAAGAUCUGGUUUUAGUCCUUCAUCAGAGAUUAUAUGUCCUAAAAAUUGAAUCUCAUUAUGACAAAAUAAACAUUUAGACUUUUAGCAUAUAAUUGAUUGUCUUUCAAGAUAGUUAAUACCUCCACCAGAUGUUGUAGAUAUAUUUUUUUGAGUUGUUGAAUAUUAAAAUAUCAUCAAAAAAGACCAAUACAAAUUUUCUUAAAAUGGGGGUAAAGAUUUUAUUCAUAGUAGCUUGAAAAGUUGAUGGAGCGUUAGUCAUGUUGGGUCGUGAUCCGAGACUAUAAGAAGAGGUUAAUAACCUCUUUUCGUGUAUUAUUGUAGAUUUUAACGAAACUAUCUGCAAUAACACUCAAUAAUAGCAAUGACAAUAUAACAAUAAUAUAUCAAUAGUAAUAUAAUAAUAUAAUUAUAUAGGUAUAUAUUAAGUUUAGUAAAAAUAACAAGCCUCUUAAGCACCUAAUAAAGGGCUUAAUGUAAAUUAAAUAACCUAAAAGUAAAUGGCUUCUUUAAGCAUCUGAUAACAGGUUGAUGAUUUAAAGUAAAUGACGUAAGUAAAUGAUCUCUUGAGCAUCUGAUAACAGGCUGAGGGCUUUGAAAUAAAUUCAAGAUAAAUAUAUAAAUAAUAUAUAUAGAUUUAAAAUCGAAAUGUAGAUAGUAGCAAUCGAUUUUAUGUUUAAAAAAUAACUAAAGAUUUAAAUGAAGAAAUGAACACAAAGAGAUUUAUACUAGUUCGGUCUCAACUUACCUACGUCCAGUUUCGUGAACUUGACUCACGAAAUUCAUUAGCCUGAAGGUAUUGGUAAACCUAUGAGCUUUUAAAGACAACAAUGCUCAAGAACCUUUUGUAAGCUUUUACAGGCUACAAUGCUUACGAACCUCACAAGUUUUAUAGUAAACUUGCAACUACCCCAAGUCUUUCACGAUAGACUUAGC